rnacentral:misc_RNA from 1 species
ACAACUCUUUUAUCAGUAAAUGUGACUAAAAUCUUAAGGAAUUCGAAAUAAACGAAAUACUUUAUACAUAUAGUUUGUACAUAUUGUACGUAAUAAUACAUAAUCCUCUUAUGUGUAAUCGUGGCCAAUUUGAAACAUACAUAUAUGGUGGCCAGUUUUUUCUAUCGUUCCAUAAAACAUGAUGCAUCGCAGAAAACUAUUAUGUCAGAAACAGAGAAGACAUUACAGUUCGUGAUCACUCAUCGUAAAAAGUGUAUCAACUACCUCGUCUUAAGAGGCCAUGAUUCAGACAUACGUACAUACGUAAAUGCCCGAAUGCAGCUGUAACAUUCGUAAGAAGACGCGAUAGAAAAAUAGACAUUUUCUCUCGAAAAAGAUAUGUGAUGACCUUAGAAAACGGUAGAAGAUUGAUUUUUUAUUUUCACAAUAUAUUUUCAUAUGUUUCGUCAUAUCUUUCAUCUUAGAUUUAUUUUCAUGAUUCCUCCGAAACAAC